GCCCGGGUGGCGGAAUUGGUAGACGCGCUGGACUUAAAAUCCAGUGGGCAGUGAUGCCCGUACGGGUUCGAUUCCCGUCCCGGGUA
rnacentral:tRNA from 1 species